AGCCGCGGUAAUUCCAGCUCCAAUAGCGUAUAUUAAAGUUGUUGCAGUUAAAAAGCUCGUAGUUGAAUUUCGGGAUCAGUUGGUCGGUCGUGCCUCGGUACGUACUGGUCAAAUUGAUUCCUACCUUCUGACGAACCACGAUGUCAUUAAUUUGGUGUCGUGGGGAAUCAGGACUGUUACUUUGAAAAAAUUAGAGUGUUUAAAGCAGGCUCGCGCUUGAAUACAUUAGCAUGGAAUAAUGAAAUAGGACGUUUGAUUCUAUUUUGUUGGUUUCUAGGAUCGACGUAAUGAUUAAUAGGGAUAGUUGGGGGCAUUAGUAUUCAAUUGUCAGAGGUGAAAUUCUUGGAUUUAUUGAAGACUAACUACUGCGAAAGCAUUUGCCAAGGAUGUUUUCAUUAAUCAAGAACGAAAGUUAGGGGAUCGAAGACGAUCAGAUACCGUCGUAGUCUUAACCAUAAACUAUGCCGACUAGGGAUCGGAUGAUGUUAAUUUUUUAAUGACUCAUUCGGCGCCUUACG
rnacentral:misc_RNA from 1 species